GAUGAACGCUGGCGGCGUGCCUAAUACAUGCAAGUCGAGCGAACAGACGAGGAGCUUGCUCAUCUGACGUUAGCGGCGGACGGGUGAGUAACACGUGGAUAACCUACCUAUAAGACUGGGAUAACUUCGGGAAACCGGAGCUAAUACCGGAUAAUAUAUUGAACCGCAUGGUUCAAUAGUGAAAGACGGUUUUGCUGUCACUUAUAGAUGGAUCCGCGCCGCAUUAGCUAGUUGGUAAGGUAACGGCUUACCAAGGCAACGAUGCGUAGCCGACCUGAGAGGGUGAUCGGCCACACUGGAACUGAGACACGGUCCAGACUCCUACGGGAGGCAGCAGUAGGGAAUCUUCCGCAAUGGGCGAAAGCUUGACGGAGCAACGCCGCGUGAGUGAUGAAGGUCUUCGGAUCGUAAAACUCUGUUAUUAGGGAAGAACAAAUGUGUAAGUAACUAUGCACGUCUUGACGGUACCUAAUCAGAAAGCCACGGCUAACUACGUG
rnacentral:rRNA from 1 species